rnacentral:rRNA from 1 species
UGAAUACGAGAUGCUACGGCGUCGAAGCAGUGUAUGUCAGACUUCCAAGAAAAGCUUGCAAUGUCAUAAAUAAAGAAUGCCUGUACCAUAACCGACACAGGUGGGUAGGUAGAGUAUACUAAGGGGCGCGAGAUAACUCUCUCUAAGGAACUCGGCAAAAUAACUCCGUAACUUCGGGAGAAGGAGUGCCUUCUUUAAGAAGGUUGCAAUAACAAGAUCCAAGCAACUGUUUAUCAAAAACACAGGUCUCCGCUAAGUCGUAAGACGAUGUAUGGGGGCUGACGCCUGCCCAGUGCCAGAAGGUUAAAGAAGCUGGUUAGCAAUAGCGAAGCUGGUGACUGAAGCCCUGGUGAACGGCGGCCGUAACUAUAACGGUCCUAAGGUAGCGAAAUUCCUUGUCGGGUAAGUUCCGACCCGCACGAAAGGCGUAAUGAUUUGGAUACUGUCUCGGAGAGGGACUCGGUGAAAUAGACUUGUCUGUGAAGAUGCGGACUACCUGCACCAGGACAGAAAGACCCUAUGAAGCUUUACUGUAACCUGAAAUUGAAAUUGGACUUUAUUUGCGCAGUAUAGGUGGGAGGCGUUGAAAGUAAUCCUGCGGGAUUAGUGGAGCCAUCAGUGAGAUACCACUCCUAUAAUGUUAGAUUUCUAACUUUGGAUCAUGAUCUGGUCAAAGAACAGUUUCAGGCGGGCAGUUUGACUGGGGCGGUCGCCUCCCAAAUGGUAACGGAGGCGUACAAAGGUUUCCUCUGAACGGGUAGAAAUCGUAUCUAGAGUGUAAAGGCAUAAGGAAGCUUGACUGUGAGACCUACAAGUCGAGCAGGGACGAAAGUCGGUCUUAGUGAUCUGACGGUGCUGAGUGGAAAGGCCGUCACUCAACGGAUAAAAGUUACUCUAGGAUAACAGGCUGAUCUCCCCCAAGAGUUCACAUCGACGGGGAGGUUUGGCACCUCGAUGUCGGCUCAUCGCAUCCUGGGGCGGUAGUACGUCCCAAGGGUUGGGCUGUUCGCCCAUGAAAGCGGUACGCGAGCUGGGUUCAGAACGUCGUGAGACAGUUCGGUCCAUAUCCGGUGUAGGCGUUAGAAUAUUGAGAGGAGCCUUCUCUAGUACGAGAGGACCGAGAAGGACAUACCUCUGGUGUACCAGUUAUCGUGCCAACGGUAAACGCUGGGUAGCUAUGUAUGGAGAGGAUAACCGCUGAGAGCAUCUAAGUGGGAAGCCCACCUCAAGAUGAGUAUUCUCAC